GACGAACGCUGGCGGCGUGCCUAAUACAUGCAAGUCGAACGCAGUGGGGACGGGUGAGUAACACGUGGUUAACCUCCCAUCAGAGGGGAUAACACUUGGAAACAGGUGCUAAACCGAUACUGAUGGAUGGACCCGCGGUGCAUUAGCUAGUUGGUGAGGUAACGGCUCACCAAGGCAACGAUGCAUAGACGGCCGGAGAGGGGGAUCGGCCACACUGGGACUGGGACACGGCCCAGACUACUUCGAGUGGCAGCGGUAGGGAAUCUUCGGAAAUGGAAGAAAGUCUGACCGAACAACGCCGCGUGAGUUAAGAAGGUUUUCGGAUCGUAAAACUCUGUUGUUAGAGAAGCGGUAUCUAACCAGAGAGCCACGACUAACUACGUGCCAGCAGCCGCGGUAAUGC
rnacentral:rRNA from 1 species